rnacentral:rRNA from 1 species
GACGAACGCUGGCGGCGUGCUUAACACAUGCAAGUCGAACGGAAAGGCCCUGCUUUUGUGGGGUGCUCGAGUGGCGAACGGGUGAGUAACACGUGAGUAACCUGCCCUUGACUUUGGGAUAACUUCAGGAAACUGGGGCUAAUACCGGAUAGGAGCUCCUGCUGCAUGGUGGGGGUUGGAAAGUUUCGGCGGUUGGGGAUGGACUCGCGGCUUAUCAGCUUGUUGGUGGGGUAGUGGCUUACCAAGGCUUUGACGGGUAGCCGGCCUGAGAGGGUGACCGGCCACAUUGGGCCUGAGAUACGGCCCAUACUCCUACGGGAGGCAGCAGUGGGGAAUAUUGCACAAUGGGCGGAAGCCUGAUGCAGCAACGCCGCGUGCGGGAUGACGGCCUUCGGGUUGUAAACCGCUUUCGCCUGUGACGAAGCGUGAGUGACGGUAAUGGGUAAAGAAGCACCGGCUAACUACGUG